UACGAAGGGGGCUAGCGUUGUUCGGAAUUACUGGGCGUAAAGGGUUCGUAGGUGGCUUGUUAAGUCAGACGUGAAAUCCCUCGGCUUAACCGGGGAACUGCGUCUGAUACUGGAUGGCUUGAAUCCGGGAGAGGGAUGCGGAAUUCCAGGUGUAGCGGUGAAAUGCGUAGAUAUCUGGAGGAACACCGGUGGCGAAGGCGGCAUCCUGGACCGGCACUGACGCUGAUGCGCGAAAGCCAGGGGAGCGAACGGGAUUAGAA
rnacentral:rRNA from 1 species